rnacentral:rRNA from 1 species
UACGUAGGGUGCAAGCGUUGUCCGGAAUUAUUGGGCGUAAAGAGCUUGUAGGCGGUUUGUCGCGUCUGCUGUGAAAUUUCGGGGCUCAACCCCGAACUUGCAGUGGGUACGGGCAGACUAGAGUGUGGUAGGGGAGACUGGAAUUCCUGGUGUAGCGGUGAAAUGCGCAGAUAUCAGGAGGAACACCGGUGGCGAAGGCGGAUCUCUGGGCCUGUUCUGACGCUGAGGCGCGAAAGCUAGGGGAGCGAACAGG